GACGAAGGAUGCAAGCGUUAUCCGGAUUCAUUGGGUUUAAAGGGCGCGUAGGCGGCUUUAUAAGUCGGUGGUGAAAUCUUUGGGCUUAACCCAAAAAUUGCCAUUGAUACUGUAGGGCUUGAGUACAGUUGCUGUGGGCGGAAUAUGACAUGUAGUGGUGAAAUACAUAGAGAUGUCAUAGAACACCGAUUGCGAAGGCAGCUCACAGAACUGUAACUGACGCUGAGGCUCGAAAGUGCGGGGAUCAAACAGG
rnacentral:rRNA from 1 species